rnacentral:lncRNA from 10 species
AUAUGAAGGCUUAGAGAUCUUAUUUAAAGUUAUAAAGUUAAGCAGUAGAAAAACUAAAAAUAAUAGUGCUAAUAACACCUGUUGGGGAGGGAAAGGGAGAAAAUAUAAUUAAGCUUCCCAGAGAGCCAACUCCUAGUAGAUCUUCAGACUGAAAUGUCAGCUGGGGCCAGAGUAUGAGAGGCCUACUGGAAAGCCCUAAACCAUUCAGAACAUGGGGCUGAAGAGGACAGAGGUCAGGUCAGAGGAGGCGGGCCAAGGUUGAAAAAUGGUUCUACAGGGAACAGGAGUGGAAAAUGGAUUAAGGCAAGGGAGCCUCUCUCUAUGGGCACCACCACCAACAACCCAUGGAGGGGUUCUGCCAGGCCACUAGCAAUGUUCACUUAAAGCCCAACCUCUUCAGUCAGCUUGUGGUGCAUAGACUGGCGGCUGCCAGGGGAUAAGGAAGCAGUGGCAUUGGAAUUCAAGACUGUCUCUCUGACCUUCCUGAAUGACUCAGCAAUAUGAAGUUAAAAUCAGAUAUCGAUUGCUGUAUGUAACUUCUGUAAUUCAUCAAGCAACUUCAACCUCUAACAGAAACAUGGGAACUAAGGUGCCACAAGUCCACCAGCAUAAGCAUUUUCCUGUCAUCUGAAAGAAUGAUGCCUUACUAAUGGUGCUAAGAGUCCAUGUGGGAAAGAGACUCAGGAGGCCCAUUACAAAACUUUCCCCACUUCAAAAGAAUAUUGUUUUGCUGUAGUGCCAUAACAUGAUUUAUUUUAGAAUGUUUUUCUAAAAUAAAUAAACUGUGAGCCUUUAUCAGCUUGAGAGAAAUGUGUUAGGCACAACCUCCCUGGAAGUACUAAAAACAUCUGUGAUCCAAGUCUAUAGUAGUUGGGGGAUUAAACUUGUGAUCAGAUUUCUUAGAUGAUGGUUUCUUUUCCUGCUGUUACAAUUUCCGUUGACUUUGGCUUUCUUGUGUACUAGGAAAAGUAAAUUGGAAUGGAGCAGACAAUUAAGAACUGGAUGUCUAAAUCCUUGUUCACAUACUUGUACAUUUCUCACAAAUUACAAUAUGCUUCCUUAUAAAUAUUUUUCUCAUAAAGAUUUCUUUAGAAAUCUAACCACAAACUUUUCUUUAUUAAUAAUUUACCUCAGGUUUGCCAUCUAGAAGACUGGGCUAAAUGACACCCAAAGGUCCUUUCAGGCCUAACCUUUCUGACUCAAGUAUUCUAUGAUCACACAGGACUUCCUGGAUUGUUAACCUGCAACUCUGUUUAAAUGUUGACAGAAAAUCUGUUAGAAAAUGCUUCCAAUUUUAGAGAAGAAAACUCCAUUUCAUGGGGGGAAGAAAGACUAGAAACAUCCAGACUUAUUUCUGCGUGCUUACUUUGUUUUCUUUUGCCCAGCAGAAAGGUAAAUUGAAAUUAGAUUGUGCUUUUCUGUAAAACUGUAAUUUAUAACAGGCUUAAAAGUUUCAAAAAUAUAAUCAUUUU